CCUACGGGUGGCAGCAGUGGGGAAUAUUGGGCAAUGGGCGCAAGCCUGACCCAGCAACGCCGCGUGAAGGAAGAAGGCUUUCGGGUUGUAAACUUCUUUUCUCAGGGACGAAGCAAGUGACGGUACCUGAGGAAUAAGCCACGGCUAACUACGGGCCAGCAGCCGCGGUAAUACGUAGGUGGCAAGCGUCAUCCGGAUUUACGGGGGGAAAAGGGCGUGUAGGCGGGGACGCAAGUCAGUUGUGAAAACCACGGGCUCAACCUGGGACCUGCAUUUGAAACUGUGUUUCUUGAGUACUGGAGAGGCAGACGGAAUUCCUAGUGUAGCGGUGAAAUGCGUAGAUAUUAGGAGGAACACCAGUGGCGAAGGCGGUCUGCUGGACAGCAACUGACGCUGAGGCGCGAAAGCGUGGGGAGCAAACAGGAUUAGAUACCCGAGUAGUC
rnacentral:rRNA from 1 species